rnacentral:lncRNA from 1 species
CACGUUUAUUUCAACAUUCAUACCCAUGUUUAUUGAGGGCUGAGAUCAGGCUUUCUUUGUUGCAUUCUGAGACUACUGUGAUCAUAUUUCAAUUGCACUGACUGCAUUUUGGUUUCGGGUUAUUUUCUCGUAAUUAAUUGUAAGUUUUCAUGCUAGCUAGCUAGGGUUUAUAUUUUGGAUGAUGAUUAUGUUUGCUUAAUGAUGAUGAUGGUGUGUUGUAUUUCUACAGACUGGAACUCGAGUGUGAAGAAACACUGCUGCUGCAUUUGCAUUUCAAUGGAGGUUUUCUGAUCCUGGAUUUUGGUUUUGCAUUUUCUCGAUUUUUUUUAUUUUUUUUUCUGGUGAAUAUGACGCCAAUAUUACUACCACUUACAAAUGAUUCCGGCGCUGCCACGUCAUUAGCUUCCCACAAAAAGUCACCGCCGCCUUCGGCGGACACGCCACCGUCUCCUUCAGCCCCUCCUCCUGAAUCUGAAUCUGAAUCCUCUCCACCGCCGGAUCCUUCCGAGCCUCCUCCAUCAACUCCCUCCGCUCCACCUCCUGAUCAA